GACAGAGGUGCCGAGCGUUAGGCGGAAUCACUGGGCCUAAAGCGUGUGUAGGCGGGUCGUUAAGUGUCUUGUGAAAUCCCACCGCUCAACGGUGGAACUGCUGGGCAUACUGGCGAUCUUGAGCCACCUAGGGGCAGACGGAACAAGCGGUGGAGCGGUGAAAUGCGUAGAUAUCGCUUGGAACGCCGACGGUGAAAACAGUCUGCUGGGGGUGUGCUGACGCUGAGACACGAAAGCCAGGGGAGCGAACGGG
rnacentral:rRNA from 1 species